UGCCAUCUUUACUCACUAUCA
rnacentral:piRNA from 1 species